ensembl:lncRNA
GUCUGUUUAUUAGUUCCCAGUAGUAUUAUCGGGUCUGUUAGUAGUUCUUCCUAGUAUUUAUCAGGUCUGUUAGUAGUUCUCAGUAGUAUUAUCGGGUCUGUUAGUUGUUCUCAGUAGUAUUAUCGGGUCUUUUAGUUGUUCCCAGUAGUAUUAUCGGGUCUGUUAGUUGUUCCCAGUAGUAUUAUCGGGUCUGUUUGUAGUUCUCAGUAGUAUUAUCGGGUCUGUUAUUAGUUCUCAGUAGUAUUAUCGGGUCUGUUUGUAGUUCUCCCUAGUAUUAUCUAGUAGUUCUCAGUAGUAUUAUCGGGUCUGUUAUUAGUUCUCAGUAUUAUUAUCAGGUCUGUUAGUAGUUCUCUGGGUUUACCAGGACGGUGAUUCUCCGUCUGCGCAGGCGUCGACACACUCCGGGGAGUCGGU